AUUGAACGCUGGCGGCAGGCCUAACACAUGCAAGUCGAACGGUAACAGGAAGCAGCUUGCUGCUUCGCUGACGAGUGGCGGACGGGUGAGUAAUGUCUGGGAAACUGCCUGAUGGAGGGGGAUAACUACUGGAAACGGUAGCUAAUACCGCAUAACGUCGCAAGACCAAAGAGGGGGACCUUAGGGCCUCUUGCCAUCGGAUGUGCCCAGAUGGGAUUAGCUAGUAGGUGGGGUAACGGCUCACCUAGGCGACGAUCCCUAGCUGGUCUGAGAGGAUGACCAGCAACACUGGAACUGAGACACGGUCCAGACUCCUACGGGAGGCAGCAGUGGGGAAUAUUGCACAAUGGGCGCAAGCCUGAUGCAGCCAUGCCGCGUGUAUGAAGAAGGCCUUCGGGUUGUAAAGUACUUUCAGCGGGGAGGAAGGGAGUAAAGUUAAUACCUUUGCUCAUUGACGUUACCCGCAGAAGAAGCACCGGCUAACUCCGUG
rnacentral:rRNA from 1 species